ACUCAAAUGAAUUGACGGGGGAGCACCACAACGGGUGGAGCUUGCGGUUUAAUUGGAUUCAACGCCGGAAAUCUUACCGGGACCGACAGCAAUAUGAAGGCCAGGCUGAAGACUUUGCCGGAUUAGCUGAGAGGUGGUGCAUGGCCGUCGUCAGUUCGUACUGUGAAGCAUCCUGUUAAGUCAGGCAACGAGCGAGACCCACGCCCACAGUUGCCAGCGUACUCUCCGGAGUGACGGGUACACUGUGGGGACCGCCGCUGCUAAAGCGGAGGAAGGAAUGGGCAACGGUAGGUCAGUAUGCCCCGAAUAUCCCGGGCUACACGCGAGCUACAAUGGUUGGUACAAUGGGUAUCUACCCCGAAAGGGGAUGGAAAUCUCCUAAAGCCAAUCUUAGUUCGGAUUGAGGGCUGCAACUCGCCCUCAUGAAGCUGGAAUCCGUAGUAAUCGCGUUUCAACAGAACGCGGUGAAUACGUCCCUGCUCCUUGCACACACCGCCCGU
rnacentral:rRNA from 1 species